GUGAAUUUCACAAAUAAUUACAAAGAAUAGCAAGUAACACAUUGAAUUAAAUUAGAUUUUUUUUUAAGUAUUAAACGCUGCACAUUAGACCUGAAAUACUAAACAUCUUAAGGUAUAUCAAGCUGUCCUCAAGGUAAUCUAUAUGCAAAUAAUGGUGGUGGUACAAUUCCUCUUCAUAUUACUCCCAACAACCUCUGAUUACUGUGGCUUGUUCUUUCUUUUUGUGGCCCGUCUUUCGUAGCCUUCCCCUCUGUUACCCAUCUCGUGGUGUUCCCACCGUGGUCUAAUUACAUGGCCUUCCUCUCUGUGCAUAUAGCAUUUCACUUCAUUCUACGGCCUCUUGGCUUUCUCACUAUGGUCAAUUUGGACAUCCUCCUCUGCGGGCUAGCUAGGCCUUUUCUCUGCGGCCUUUGUGGCUUUCUUUUUGUGGCCCGCCGGGGCCGUUCCCACUGUGGCCCGCCGGGGCCGUUCCCCACUGUCCGGCCUAUCGUGGCCUGCCUCUCUGCCUCACUGUCCGGCCUAUCGUGGCCUGCCUCUCUGCCUCACUGUCCGGCCUAUCGUGGCCUGCCUCACUGUCCGGCCUAUCGUGGCCUCUCUCGGAGGCUCUGUGGUCUAUCUUCAUUGCCAUAUAAGCUAAUACUUUAGCUAUAAUCUGAUGUUGUAUUCUUAUGUCUGGCUAAUUAUCUCAAUUUAUCUCUUUCGUUCAUGUUCCAGGAUCCUCUAAGAAAUAUUUCAUCUGGUGCGUAUUACAUUUUUCUUCUUUCUUUUGGGGUAGGCUCCGCCCUGCCUUCGUCUUCGGCAGGAUUAGCUGGUAUCUACAAACUUCAGAUCCACGCUACGGAUGGGGCCUACGCCAAAAUAAUUCUAUUUUUUGUGUUUUUGUAAAUAAAUACUUCAGUCUUAUCUCUACCUCCUGAGUCUUUCUGGUAGAACUCAUGUUACUUGUAAAGCGUUACCCCCAACACUGAUUAUUAUUAUUAGAAUCAUAAUGUCACGGCUGUGUCGAGGAAGGCACACGAGAACGAUGAUAGAAUCAAUAAGUACUUUAAUAACAUCCAGGAAGAAGAUAAUCCAGAGAGAUGAGGGGUAGACACACACCAAUACAAAUAUAAUACCGAACAAAGACUAACAAAGGAGUGAGUUUAAAUAAGGCAGGCAGCUGAUGACAAAAAGGUGAGGGGAAUUAACUAAAGAGAACUAAUGAAUCAAUUAACUAAACUAGGACAGGAACAGAACCAAAUAUGGGCACAGACAAACUAAAUAGACCUGGGGUCUCCUUUCUAAAACUCUCCAUAGAUUUCAUCCUAAAAGUGUACGUAUGCACAAAAGCUAGAUUUUGCCAGAACCUGAGCAAAAAUCCCUUUUUAAAUCUCAGUCAGGGGAAGAUGUGUGUACGUGCAUCUCCACCCCGACUCCUCCCCGAAAUCACCAUAUAUGGAGCUUACAACAUCCAGUUUUACUAUGCAUAACCUCAUCUGCAUAUCAUUUCCAUGCAUAUUCCCAUCCACGUGACACCAUAUUUAACACCCUUAAAGGUACAAGACAUUAAAGAAAUAUGAGAUACGGACUAUAAAUGCCAUUUGUGCCAUACACAAUUUUUAUUGCUAAAGAUCAUCCAGUAUCCUUGUAAUGUUUUAGCAUAAAUAUCAAAAUAAAAAUCCAUAAAAACAAAACUCUUUAAAAUAGUUCUCAGAUAAAUAUUUUAGAAUAGAGUUGGUCUCGUUCUUUUCCACUGGCCAAAUAGUAUUUCUAUUGUUUUAAACAAUUCGAAUCAAAUUUAAUUUAUGUACUUUUGCUGAUAAGGUAAACAUCUUUUAGCUAUUUUUAGUCUAUAUUUAUUGCAGUGUAAACAUUGUCUGACUCAGUGUGUCACUGACAAGCCUAUUUUAAAAAGAAAACAUGCAAAUUACCAUUUUCUUUAAGUUGUAUCCUUCAGAUACAGUGGAAUUUUUCAUAAUGUUGUGUAGAUGACUUCACACGACAUCAACACCUCUGUGCAGCUGUGCUUGUACAGUAAGAUAUUAUCACUGGACCUAUUCAAACUGGACAAUGGACCGUUCGACCAUUGAAUCCAGCAGUGUCCGCCACAGUAUCGAAGUACGCAUCAUUGUUCUCACUAAACUAUUUUCUCAUAGCAUGAGAUCUGCAGUUUAGUUUGAAGAUGAAUUAUCGUGCACCUAUAGCACUCCUCACUGUUGUGUAACAGUUAUAAACUCUUUUUGUUGUUUUUCACUCUGUUUAGUCUUCUGGGGUCUCAUUUAUAAACGUUGUGUACGC
rnacentral:lncRNA from 1 species